rnacentral:rRNA from 1 species
CGCUGGCGGCAUGCCUUACACAUGCAAGUCGAACGGCAGCACGGGAGCAAUCCUGGUGGCGAGUGGCGAACGGGUGAGUAAUAUAUCGGAACGUGCCCGGUCGUGGGGGAUAACGUAGCGAAAGCUACGCUAAUACCGCAUACGAUCUACGGAUGAAAGCGGGGGAUCGCAAGACCUCGCGCGAUUGGAGCGGCCGAUAUCAGAUUAGGUAGUUGGUGAGGUAAAGGCUCACCAAGCCGACGAUCUGUAGCUGGUCUGAGAGGACGACCAGCCACACUGGGACUGAGACACGGCCCAGACUCCUACGGGAGGCAGCAGUGGGGAAUUUUGGACAAUGGGCGCAAGCCUGAUCCAGCAAUGCCGCGUGCAGGAUGAAGGCCUUCGGGUUGUAAACUGCUUUGUACGGAACGAAACGGUGAGCUCUAAUACAGUUUGCUAAUGACGGUACCGUAAGAAUAAGCACCGGCUAACUACGUG